rnacentral:rRNA from 1 species
UACGUAGGGGCAAGCGUUGUCCGGAAUCAUUGGGCGUAAAGAGCUCGUAGGCGGUCUGUUGCGUCCGCUGUGAAAACUCGGGGCUUAACCCCGAGCCUGCAGUGGAUACGGGCAGACUAGAGGUAGGUAGGGGAGAAUGGAAUUCCCGGUGUAGCGGUGAAAUGCGCAGAUAUCGGGAGGAACACCCGUGGCGAAGGCGGCUCUCUGGGACGGUACUGACGCUGAGACGCGAAAGCGUGGGGAGCGAACGAGGA